UCUGUUGAUGUUUUUUGAGUCUCCACCUUCAUCACAGACUCUUUGCAUCAGUUCAGAUGUUUUUCCAGUGUUUUGAUCAUGAACUGGUCGUUUUUCCACAGAUUCUUCUUCUUUUCUUUUCUCUGAACGUGGACAGUCUGAGUGUCAUUGCAGUUCCUCUUUUCUCCACAUGGGGGGGCAGCAGGACGGGCUUUGUAGAUAAUCCUUGAAUGUAGACUUGGAUCAGGUCGGGUCUGAAUCGUUGCUUUUUUUCCGUCGUCCUGUUCGAUCCCGUCUUGACCCUCAGGUGUUUUUUUGUUGUUUUUCAUUGUUUUUUUUCCGUUUUUACAACCACGCCACAAAGCCAGCGAUCGCAAACUGAAUCAGGGUUUUUUCCUCAAUCACUCUCAGCACGAUUAAGCUACAUCCCAUCGCUCCAAAUGUCCCUCAUCCAAAUGUCCCUCAUGGCUUCCCGUAGUCACAUAGCGUCUCCGUUUUAAGGUUUCAUUUAUUGGAGUGUUGUGGGGGGGUUUUUUCCACCGGGGGGAAAUUCACUCAGAAACUCCCCGACGCUAUUACUUGAACUUUACUGCAUUGCUCACUGUUGAAUGUCUUUAUAAGAAAAUAUACAUUUAUUGAAGAAAAACGCAGAAAACGUAGAGUUCCUUUUGGUUUUGUCGGCGACGUUUUCAGAGUUUUAUGACAGAUGUACAGUAUCGGCUCCAGAACAGAUGCCACUUAGAGCUACUUUAGGAGGGAAGGAGGAGCUUUUGGAAACUUUACUCAGAGAUUUGUCGGAUCUUUUUCCUUCACCGAGGGCUUCGAUAUAAUUGCACACAUCAUCGUCAUCGCCAUCGUCUACAGGAGAAUUUAGUUUCCGUUUUCACCGACGCAGCCUCUGUUCAAGCCUGUUUUUAGUCGUUUUCUGACCAAAGAUUUGAGUUGGUGUCGAUUGUCGGGUUCGGUUCAAACGUCUUCUUCUGUUUUUUUUUUUUUUUUUCCGUUGUGUUCGUGUUUCAGAGGAUCAAACUGCGACGGUUCAUCUGGAAAGUCUUGGUUUAACGGUGUCCUGGCGGUGAAGUCCAUGAACUGGUACCGGUCUGUUUCUGGUUUCACGUGUCUUCGGUUAGGGGUUUUUUUGCACAUGAAGUCGGUUUGGUUUUGAAGUGUUGAACGUCCUGCAGAAACAGUUUUAAGGCCCAUUCAUGGUCCACAUUAAAGACACACUACGGACGCCGCCUUC